rnacentral:rRNA from 1 species
UACGGGGGGGGCAAGCGUUGUUCGGAAUUACUGGGCGUAAAGGGCGCGUAGGCGGUCUGCUAAGUUGGAUGUGAAAACUCUGGGCUUAACCCAGAGCCUGCAUUCAAUACUGACAGGCUAGAGUUCUGGAGGGGAUAGCGGAAUUCCUGGUGUAGCGGUGAAAUGCGUAGAUAUCAGGAGGAACACCGGUGGCGAAGGCAGCUCGCUGGGACGGUACUGACGCUGAGACGCGAAAGCGUGGGGAGCAAACAGG